UUUUCUUGGCCACAUGGGGGCAGCGUGGCGACGUGCAAGUACGACGUUGGCAUGCCAACGUCAAGUAAGACGGCCCGGCGUUCGUCGUAGCAAGUGGCAACAUUAGCCGUCACUCGGAAGUCGUGUCUCCGGCUACCCGGCAAAAUGUAAAUUGAAAUUGGUGCCGUCAUAACUUCAGCCUCCUGUCAUUGCCGGGAUCCCACUGGACAAACGCUGUGGAGUGAUCAGAGAUCCCAUGCUGCUAUGAAAAUCGCCCGGUUGGACCCUUGGCUGUUUUACACUCUCCCAUCUCACCACUGGGGUUCUCCAAAGCCCUUGUAGUACCCAUCACAAUGACUGUACCCCACCUUUAGAGCCUCUUCGGUGACAGAAUCAGGGCAGCUCCACCGUCAGCAGCAUCAAAGCCACAGUGUGACGGAGAUGGAUUAAUAAGUAAAGAAAAAGUGUGACAGACCAAGAAAGGCGCCCAGAUCACACAAAGGCAAUAAAGUCACCUGGGGCAUCUAAAGGAGAAGAAGUUUUCAAAGCUGCUUGUUUUGUUGUACUCGCUCAAAGAGUUCCUAUGCACGAGCAUCUACCAUCCCAGGAAGGGCAGGGGCAGAGGACGAGGGGAGCCUUGACUGCCAGUGCUGAAGCUGGCAUACAGAAGUAAGAAGAGCAAAUGAAGGCAUGUGCUUACACCUGCAUUCACCCGGCAUGUCGCUGUUCAUUAUUCCACCAGAUUGUCAGCUCCCACUGCUGAAUCAUCGUGGUGGCGCAGGAGGAGGGCACCCAAGCCUUUUUACAGUAAUUUUUGAUGUCUGAGAACAUGAAUGGCUCCUUGAUUGUAAGAGGGUAACUGAACAACACACAUUGAUAUGCAGGAGAAAAGACUUUGACUAAGGAUGAAGCUUUGUGCCUGCCUGAUGUCUAACCACGACACUUUGGAUUUGAAGUUUUCUUAUAUUUCACCCUUUGUCUUCUUUAGCGCUUGUUCUAUUUCCUAACUCUGUUCCUCUCUGUCUGUUGCUCUUCCCAUAAUUUCUCCCAUCACCCUGUUCAGUUUUACACUGUCUACAGCGCCAUAUCUGUCAUAACUGCAAUAGAAAAUCUUUUCCCAGCAUUUGGGGCUUCAUUUUGUGGUUGAGGCCCCACUUUUAGUAUCAGAGGAGAAUGAAGCUGCAAGCCCUGACACUUUAUUUCCCCUGCAGUCAAUCACACUGAAGUUCAACUCUAUUAAAGGGAUAACGUUUUUUCUCUCAUUUUUUGGUAUCAAAUAUGUCCUCCUUGCAGCAAGGGGUUUAUCAGAUGCUUAGAAGUUUAUGAGGCAUCACUGUUAUCAGCGGCUAUCUGUUGUUUAAAUAUAAUCUUUAUGAUACCUGAAAAACAGCUGUGAAAUUCACAGAGCAGCGGUAAGGUCACCCUGCUGAUGGGCUGUAGCACCACACAUAGUCUGUGCCAAAACACACAAACGCAACGCUCCCACACUUACGUUUUCGUGAUCCUGCUUCACCCAGGAGUGAGAGAGAGGCGUAAUGAAGCUCGCUCUGCUCCCCUCCUAAUCUGGUCUGACAGGUCCUGACUCCGAGAGUAUGAUUAAUGUGAGCUGCAGCUGCAGCUGGACGCAUUUAAUGUCAUCUGCAAUAUCACCCGGCUCCAACAAAUGAGGGCCCACAUGCCAUACAUUUCUGUGGCAUGUUGUCCAUAUCCAUUAGCAAACAAUUUAUUGCAGACUUGAGAAUUUUGUUAUUAUUUUUUUUAUGCAGUGCCUCUGAAUCCAUCAGUCAGUCAGCCCCUGAGCCCUGGGGUGCCACAGAGAGUCAAAGAGUGAUAGCCAGUAUCCAGCUGCCAUGAAUCAUUCCUCUAGUAUUCACUCGUUAACCACGUGGGAGUUUGAAUUUGGCUUUUCAUAGGACCAGUGUGGUUUUCCCCUGAGGAAACAGCGGGGAAGCAGCCUGACCAUAUGGGCCAUGAGCAUUGAUACUGUAUCCGAGCUGUGAGUAAGCACACACAUUUUAAUUUGAGAGGGGAAUUUUCCUAUCUUACUCACCUGUGGCUGACCUUGGCACUCAAUAUUCAAGAGUUUUGUUUGCUUGUUAGCUUUUUCCUUUUUCUGAAAUCCCGCCCUGUGAUCCCAUCUUGAUAUUGUUACACUCAUCACCAAAUGGCCCGCCGUGAUGUGUUUCGAAGAGUGUGAAAUGUGGCUGUUCAGUAUGGCGGCCGACUCAGCAGAGCCCUGAGAGUUGGAGUAAACAAAAGGAUUUCAGGCUCAAAUGGAUAGAGUUGCACAAAUUACAGCCGAAUCAGUGCUGUUGUUUCACAGCAAUGCCCUCAAUCUGGCAAGCCGCUGCACCUCAUGUAGACACCACUUGUUGCCCUCACCUCCCCCACCCUUCCAAGUCAGCCCAAAAACAUUUUCACAUUCACUGCACAGUCAAUGGUAGCAAGCAUCAUAAUCUGAGGAGACGGUUCCAUCUCAGCUCACUCCCGAUAACCUUCCCAUUCAUCGCUCCCCACGUACACCUUUUAAUGAAAAGAGGGAAGCUCCCAGAAAUAGAGAUAUAGUGGGAGCAACUUGAGAAAGGUAGAAAAAGGAGAGAGGAAUAAAGGCGGUGGGGGGGGGGGCAAGUUGAGAUAAGGAAAAGAAAUGAGAAGAUGUGCGGAGAGAAAAAUAGCUGCCAUAUUUGGCUCUGUGGUGUAUUAACUCCCUUGGGUUGGAACUGAAUGUUAUUGCCGUGGCUGUCUGUCUGGUUCAAAACACGAGGAAGAAGUCUUUCAAUAUUUGCGGCAAGGUGAACAGAAUGUUGCGUCACGACAAAUGGACUGGUUAAAUACUCCACUCCCUCUAUAUCAUCUUGUUUAAAAAGCAAUCAGUCUGCUUCCCUGUUUUAAAAGACAAACCCCAAGGGAGCAACCGGAAUUUGAGAGACAAAUGAGGUUCAAAUCAGAAAUGGACCAGUCAAGAGGAAAGUAAUGAGUGAAUCUUGCUGUCCUGAUGAGUUUUAUGCUGCUGACAAAUUACUGGUAGACUUAAUAUCGAGUGCUGAUAGACUGUGAGGUAGUAAGAAAUCUUGUGGCGACUGAAGCCCUGUAGGCUCUUUUCCGAUUCUCUAUUGUGUCCUGGAAUGAAAAAGUACAGGAGACUAAUAAAGACUUGAUUUAAAUGCCAUUGCGUGUUUUUGUUGCCAUGGAAACAUAUCAGUCAGACUUUGUUUAUGUCAUAGCGCGUUGAUUGUUUCAAGCAGACCUAAAGAGGCCACCGAGGCUAUAUUUGUUGCCUCCUAAUAGGUAGUCUCAGCAGGGCUUUUGGUCAAGUUGAAGGGCCGCUGUUUGUUUAGGAGUGGAAAAAUGAAAAAAUAAUAACAACAGCUACUCACCUUUUCCCUACCAGUGGGGUGACAGAACAGCGAGAUGUGUGGCUUUUGUCUUCAGGCUGCCAGAAAUGUCAGCAACACACACAUCAGUGGUCACCGGCGCAGCUGGCGGGAGGGAGGAGGACAGAAUGCUGAUGAGGAAGCUGGAAGGAGCACAACAUCCGAGUACGCUUCAUACGCUUCGCCCACAGCACAUACAUGCUCCCAGAGGCACGUGCGCGAAGAGGCUCGGACGGCUGAAUGCCCACACAUGCACGGACGCAACUAGUCAGAAUCCGGAU